UACGUAGGGGGCAAGCGUUGUCCGGAAUUAUUGGGCGUAAAGAGCGCGUAGGCGGUCCGGUAAGUCGGCUGUGAAAGUCAAGGGCUCAACCCUUGAAAGCCGGCCGAUACUGUCGGACUAGAGUCCGGAAGAGGCGAGUGGAAUUCCCGGUGUAGCGGUGAAAUGCGCAGAUAUCGGGAGGACACCAAUGGCGAAGGCAG
rnacentral:rRNA from 1 species